GAUGAAGAACGUAGCGAAAUGCGAUAAGUAAUGUGAAUUGCAGAAUUCAGUGAAUCAUCGAAUCUUUGAACGCACCUUGCGCUCUUUGGUAUUCCGAAGAGCAUGCCUGUUUGAGUGUCAUGAAAAUAUCAACCUUGACUUGGGUUUUGUGCUCUAGUCUCGGCUUGGAAUUGGGUGCUUGCCGCUUUUACGAGCGGCUCACCUUAAAUGUAUUAGCUGGAUCUGUCUUUGAGACUUGGUUUGACUUGGCGUAAUAAGUAUUUCGCUAAGGACAUUCUUCGGAGUGGCCUCGUUUCUAGGACGCUUGUCCGCUUUCCAAUACAAGUUCCACCUCGUGGACAUGACUUUUUAUUAUCUGGCCUCAAAUCAGGUAGGACUACCCGCUGAACUUAAGCAUAUCAAUAAGCGGAGG
rnacentral:misc_RNA from 1 species